rnacentral:snoRNA from 1 species
AUGGCAUGUUGAGGACAAUCGGCGCAAAGUUUCUUGAAUCUCUCCUAAGCUAGCUAAAAAUUCUCAUCCUUUCGUUGUCGAAAUCUUGUAAUCCUUUGCCUACCCCU